rnacentral:rRNA from 1 species
GGUUAAGCGACUAAGCGUACACGGUGGAUGCCCUGGCAGUCAGAGGCGAUGAAGGGCGUGCUAAUCUGCGAUAAGCGCCGGUAAGGUGAUAUGAACCGUUAUAACCGGCGAUACCCGAAUGGGGAAACCCAGUGUGACUCGUCACACUAUCAUUAACUGAAUCCAUAGGUUAAUGAGGCGAACCGGGGGAACUGAAACAUCUAAGUACCCCGAGGAAAAGAAAUCAACCGAGAUUCCCCCAGUAGCGGCGAGCGAACGGGGAGGAGCCCAGAGCCUGAAUCAGCAUGUGUGUUAGUGGAAGCGUCUGGAAAGGCGCGCGAUACAGGGUGACAGCCCCGUACACAAAAGCGCAUGUGCUGUGAGCUCGAUGAGUAGGGCGGGACACGUGGUAUCCUGUCUGAAUAUGGGGGGACCAUCCUCCAAGGCUAAAUACUCCUGACUGACCGAUAGUGAACCAGUACCGUGAGGGAAAGGCGAAAAGAACCCCGGCGAGGGGAGUGAAAAAGAACCUGAAACCGUGUACGUACAAGCAGUGGGAGCACCCUUUGGGGUGUGACUGCGUACCUUUUGUAUAAUGGGUCAGCGACUUAUAUUCUGUAGCAAGGUUAACCGUAUAGGGGAGCCGAAGGGAAACCGAGUCUUAACCGGGCGUUAAGUUGCAGGGUAUAGACCCGAAACCCGGUGAUCUAGCCAUGGGCAGGUUGAAGGUUGGGUAACACUAACUGGAGGACCGAACCGACUAAUGUUGAAAAAUUAGCGGAUGACCUGUGGCUGGGGGUGAAAGGCCAAUCAAACCGGGAGAUAGCUGGUUCUCCCCGAAAGCUAUUUAGGUAGCGCCUCGUGAAUUCAUCUCCGGGGGUAGAGCACUGUUUCGGCUAGGGGGCCAUCCCGGCUUACCAACCCGAUGCAAACUGCGAAUACCGGAGAAUGUUAUCACGGGAGACACACGGCGGGUGCUAACGUCCGUCGUGAAGAGGGAAACAACCCAGACCGCCAGCUAAGGUCCCAAAGUCAUGGUUAAGUGGGAAACGAUGUGGGAAGGCCCAGACAGCCAGGAUGUUGGCUUAGAAGCAGCCAUCAUUUAAAGAAAGCGUAAUAGCUCACUGGUCGAGUCGGCCUGCGCGGAAGAUGUAACGGGGCUAAACCAUGCACCGAAGCUGCGGCAGCGACACUCAGGUGUUGUUGGGUAGGGGAGCGUUCUGUAAGCCUGUGAAGGUGGCCUGUGAGGGUUGCUGGAGGUAUCAGAAGUGCGAAUGCUGACAUAAGUAACGAUAAAGCGGGUGAAAAGCCCGCUCGCCGGAAGACCAAGGGUUCCUGUCCAACGUUAAUCGGGGCAGGGUGAGUCGACCCCUAAGGCGAGGCCGAAAGGCGUAGUCGAUGGGAAACGGGUUAAUAUUCCCGUACUUGGUGUUACUGCGAAGGGGGGACGGAGAAGGCUAUGUUGGCCGGGCGACGGUUGUCCCGGUUUAAGCGUGUAGGCUGGUUUUCCAGGCAAAUCCGGAAAAUCAAGGCUGAGGCGUGACGACGAGGCACUACGGUGCUGAAGCAACAAAUGCCCUGCUUCCAGGAAAAGCCUCUAAGCAUCAGGUAACAUCAAAUCGUACCCCAAACCGACACAGGUGGUCAGGUAGAGAAUACCAAGGCGCUUGAGAGAACUCGGGUGAAGGAACUAGGCAAAAUGGUGCCGUAACUUCGGGAGAAGGCACGCUGACAUGUAGGUGAAGUGAUUUACUCAUGGAGCUGAAGUCAGUCGAAGAUACCAGCUGGCUGCAACUGUUUAUUAAAAACACAGCACUGUGCAAACACGAAAGUGGACGUAUACGGUGUGACGCCUGCCCGGUGCCGGAAGGUUAAUUGAUGGGGUCAGCGCAAGCGAAGCUCCUGAUCGAAGCCCCGGUAAACGGCGGCCGUAACUAUAACGGUCCUAAGGUAGCGAAAUUCCUUGUCGGGUAAGUUCCGACCUGCACGAAUGGCGUAAUGAUGGCCAGGCUGUCUCCACCCGAGACUCAGUGAAAUUGAACUCGCUGUGAAGAUGCAGUGUACCCGCGGCAAGACGGAAAGACCCCGUGAACCUUUACUAUAGCUUGACACUGAACAUUGAGCCUUGAUGUGUAGGAUAGGUGGGAGGCUUUGAAGCGUGGACGCCAGUCUGCGUGGAGCCGACCUUGAAAUACCACCCUUUAAUGUUUGAUGUUCUAACGUGGACCCGUAAUCCGGGUUGCGGACAGUGUCUGGUGGGUAGUUUGACUGGGGCGGUCUCCUCCUAAAGAGUAACGGAGGAGCACGAAGGUUGGCUAAUCCUGGUCGGACAUCAGGAGGUUAGUGCAAUGGCAUAAGCCAGCUUGACUGCGAGCGUGACGGCGCGAGCAGGUGCGAAAGCAGGUCAUAGUGAUCCGGUGGUUCUGAAUGGAAGGGCCAUCGCUCAACGGAUAAAAGGUACUCCGGGGAUAACAGGCUGAUACCGCCCAAGAGUUCAUAUCGACGGCGGUGUUUGGCACCUCGAUGUCGGCUCAUCACAUCCUGGGGCUGAAGUAGGUCCCAAGGGUAUGGCUGUUCGCCAUUUAAAGUGGUACGCGAGCUGGGUUUAGAACGUCGUGAGACAGUUCGGUCCCUAUCUGCCGUGGGCGCUGGAGAACUGAGGGGGGCUGCUCCUAGUACGAGAGGACCGGAGUGGACGCAUCACUGGUGUUCGGGUUGUCAUGCCAAUGGCACUGCCCGGUAGCUAAAUGCGGAAGAGAUAAGUGCUGAAAGCAUCUAAGCACGAAACUUGCCCCGAGAUGAGUUCUCCCUGAGACUUAGAGUCUCCUGAAGGAACGUUGAAGACGACGACGUUGAUAGGCCGGGUGUGUAAGCGCAGCGAUGCGUUGAGCUAACCGGUACUAAUGAACCGUGAGGCUUAACCUU